rnacentral:rRNA from 1 species
AGGGUUUGAUUCUGGCUCAGGAUGAACGCUGGCGGCGUGCUUAACACAUGCAAGUCGAACGAACCUUCGGGUUAGUGGCGGACGGGUGAGUAACGCGUGAGAAUCUGCCCUCAGGAGGGGGAUAACGGUUGGAAACGACCGCUAAUACCCCAUAUGCCUACUGGUGAAAUGAAUUUCGCCUGAGGAUGAGCUCGCGUCUGAUUAGCUAGUUGGUGAGGUAAUGGCUCACCAAGGCUUCGAUCAGUAGCUGGGCUGAGAGGAUGAUCAGCCACACUGGGACUGAGACACGGCCCAGACUCCUACGGGAGGCAGCAGUGGGGAAUUUUCCGCAAUGGGCGAAAGCCUGACGGAGCAACGCCGCGUGAGGGACGAAGGCCUCUGGGCUGUAAACCUCUUUUCUCAAGGAAGAAGAUAUGACGGUACUUGAGGAAUAAGCCACGGCUAAUUCCGUGCCAGCCGCCGCGGUAAUAC